UGGGGAAUAUUGGGCAAUGGGGGAAACCCUGACCCAGCGACGCCGCGUGAGGGAAGAAGGUUUUCGGAUUGUAAACCUCUGUCCUUGGCGACGAUAAUGACGGUAGCCAAGGAGGAAGCCACGGCUAACUACGUGCCAGCAGCCGCGGUAAUACGUAGGUGGCGAGCGUUGUCCGGAAUUACUGGGUGUAAAGGGAGCGUAGGCGGGAGAGCAAGUCGACUGUGAAAGCUAUGGGCUUAACCCAUAGAUGCGAUCGAAACUGUUCAUCUUGAGUGAAGUAGAGGCAGGCGGAAUUCCUAGUGUAGCGGUGAAAUGCGUAAAUAUUAGGAGGAACACCAGUGGCGAAGGCGGCCUGCUGGGCUGUAACUGACGCUGAGGCUCGAAAGCGUGGGUAGCAAACAGGAUUAGAUACCC
rnacentral:rRNA from 1 species